rnacentral:rRNA from 1 species
AGUGAACGCUGGCGGUAGGCCUAACACAUGCAAGUCGAACGGCAGCACAGUAAGAGCUUGCUCUUACGGGUGGCGAGUGGCGGACGGGUGAGGAAUACAUCGGAAUCUACUUUUUCGUGGGGGAUAACGUAGGGAAACUUACGCUAAUACCGCAUACGACCUACGGGUGAAAGCAGGGGAUCUUCGGACCUUGCGCGAUUGAAUGAGCCGAUGUCGGAUUAGCUAGUUGGCGGGGUAAAGGCCCACCAAGGCGACGAUCCGUAGCUGGUCUGAGAGGAUGAUCAGCCACACUGGAACUGAGACACGGUCCAGACUCCUACGGGGGGCAGCAGCGGGGAAUAUUGGACAAUGGGCGCAAGCCUGAUCCAGCCAUACCGCGUGGGUGAAGAAGGCCUUCGGGUUGUAAAGCCCUUUUGUUGGGAAAGAAAAGCAGCAGGUUAAUACCCCGCUGUUCUGACGGUACCCAAAGAAUAAGCACCGGCUAACUUCGUG